rnacentral:rRNA from 1 species
UCCCACAGUCAUAUCACCCUGCAACCCAAGACUAUUUAAACAUUGAAGCUAAGCAGGGCUGAGCCUGGUAAGCACCUGGAUGGGAAACCACAUGGGAAAACUAGGUUGCUGUUGGAA